CCGCUCUCCCACGGAUCGUGCUCCCUCCCCAUGCCCUCCUUCUUACUCCUUACCGCGGAGUCCGAGGCCACUCGUGGCCUUCGGUGCCUCCUCCGCAUCGGCGACCUCGCCUGACACGGCUGCCGUCUCUCAGUCGGCCUCUCUUCACCCUUCGGCCUGGUCUCUGCUCCCCUCUCUUUUCUGGUUGUUCCCUAUGGAUGGUUGGCGCCUGAAGGGCGGAUGGAUCCGAUGGAAAGCUAGCUUCUCCGGAUCCGGUCAGAUCAUAUCUCCCGGUAACCCGUUCCGAUCAACCUCUUCCGGUAUUUUUUCAGAGGAAAGGUUGGCCAACGGCGUUCCGGUGGUUGGAUUUGUAUUUGGUGGCGGUGGACUCCGGUUAUGUCCACUGAUUGCUUGCUGUUCGGUUCGCUUAAGUGGUAAAGCUGAUGUCUUUAGGUUAGAAGAAUAACUAAGAUUGGGUAGGAAGGAAGGAUGGUGGAUUGGGUAGCUAGCUGCUGGCUGCUUGGUUCAGGAGUUGGGGUUAAAUUAGCGUCUGAAAUACUUGUUUGGUUUAGGUAUUCCUAUGUAGACGACCUGAUUAUGAUUCAGGGUGAUUUAUCGUAGCAGUAAUCUGAAGUUUGGUGUGGUGUUUGAUCUGUGUGAGUCUUGUGUUAGGUGAGUCAUGAACAAAUUUAUGUGGUCUUUAUUAGUAGGUCAAGGUGAAGUUCUUCUCUUUAUGUAUCGUCAUGAACAAAGUUAUGUGGUCUUUAUUAGUAGGUCAAGGUGAAGUUCUUCUCUUUAUGUAUCUAUAUCAGCUUAGCUGUGAUAUGCGUGUGAGUCGUAAAUUUCGAUAUAUGAAAGUCUGUUCUUGCAUCCGAUCAGGAAUUGUGAACAUCUCUUUCUUCAUAUGCCUCUCUUUCGUGAAAUUGGGGAUAUGUCUUUCGUCUAGAUUUACUUCUGUUCGGCUGCUCCGCUGGCGGCUGCUGCUGUUCAUGCUCAUGCACUUGGAUGUCAUGAAUUAUAAACCAAAGAUUUGGGAAUUAUUUAACUAUGGAAGCCAUGAAUUCUAUCCUCAUUAGGGACACAUGUUUAUAUUAGAAUUCAUGGAUCAAAAGAAUAACUAACUAGCUGAUAGAUAGCUGAUAGAUAUAUGGAUUAAAUGAUAGAUUUAAUAAAACCAUCAGAUUGGAUGUGAGGUAUGGAUUUAUUUAAUUCAGUGUUUUCCUUAACCGAGCAAGGCCUAACACUUUGCGUGGAUUUAACUUGAAUCGGCGAACUCUGUGCCGCGGUUAUCGCUAAGGCUGAAGUAUUCUUUCUUGGGGCAGUUGAACGUGCGUACUCUAGGAUCAUUCUUUGGAUUACUCUGACCGCCGGUGUUGUUGACCGCUGAAGCUCCCGUGCAUUGCUGAGUCAAUUUGACUCCGUAUGCCGGCCAGAGACUUCAGGAAGACUGAAACAUUAGCAUUGGUGGUAAGAGGAAAAGAUGGCCAUGCCAAGAGUUCCAGGGCAGCAGCUCCUGACGCCAAGGAGUAUGACGAAUACGAGGAGGAGCACACCGAGCCUUUUGCGGAAGCUGCGACGACCUUUACAUUGGCAGCAACUAAAUAAUGGACUGAGUUAGCUGACAAUAGGCCAUUUGAUUCUAUCCCAUGUUUGGUGCAUGUAGUGUAUCAUGUUUCGUUUACCAUCUCUAUUGUCAUGAUCAGAGCUCUGGCUAUCUUUUCAAGACCAUGCUGAGUGUACAGAACUUGGACAAUCUUUGGCGGACUUCGGAAAGGCGAUUAAGCUUUUGGGCUCUUGUGAAGGAGAUUUGAUGGAAAAGGUGUUUUCUGAAGUUGGUUCAAAGUCAGAGAUGUUGUCAAUAAAGCUGCAAAGAGAGGCAAUCAGAGCAGAUGGACAGACACAAUUGAGCCAUGAAAUAGCUUUGGAGCUAAGUCAGAGGAGUGCUGCUGCUGGACUAAGGCCGAUUGGAGCAGUGGUCUUCAUGCAACGGGGUGUCCUGAAGGUUUGCUUGAGGACUACUGACAGUACAGUUAAUACAUCAGAGAUUGCAAAGGUGUGCCACCAUCGUAAUUAUGUUCUUUUUAACUAUGCAUGGCCUUUUAGUUGGAUAUGAUCGUUCAUCUCUGCCACAUCAUAAAAAUGUAGGCAUAUGGCGGAGGUGGAAAACGAAGUUCGAGUUCAUUCACUCUAAGAAUGGAUGAGUUCAACAUCUGGACUUCAGUGAACUCAUGAAUUGAACUGGAGAGGUCACAUAGUGUUCAUACUGUGGGAACUCGCAACCAGCUCAUCUGGGCAUGGAUUCCCUCAGUGGUGAACAUGUGAAGAUGGGGUGGUCUUUUUGUGCUCCGGUAUGAGAGGAAGGAAAACAAAAUCUUAGUCUAACCUACCAUGUUGAUAUGAGCUUACAGGAGAAUAAUCUCUUCGAUAUGAAUGACUGGAGAGCAAUUUGGAGGCAUAAUGCUUAAGCCGUUCAAGAGAAGAUUUGAUGCCUUUAAAUGAAAGGUUUGCUGGUACAUCAAAAGACGUAUUUUAUGCUCUUUCUAAUCUUUCUCCAGUAGACCUAUGUGCUUAAUUUUAGAGAUGAUAAGGGUGGUGCGGGCCGAAGAUCUGUCAUACUCCUAGGGGCCAAUUAUAGCUUACACUUAUGUUGUUAUUAGUUUUGAAUGCUGAACAUACAUGGAGAUGGGUAGCUCAGCUCAGCUUGGAUAUAACUUGGUUUCUAUCCAAACUAAUACUUUGCUCCAUAGGGAAUGCAUCUGGCAACGGAAAUUGUUGUCAAGCUCCAGUAGCAGAAAGGAUCAUCUUCAAUUAUUGUAAUCCUGCUCCUUAAUAAUACAUUCUUGGAUCUUGCUCUGGGCUUAAAAAAUCUGCAUCACCAAAUUGUUCCUCGUUGCGAACAUUUAUGUAAUACAGAACCUUAGAAACUGGAAAUGUUUAUUCCAUUCCGGUAAUUUGGGAAUGAUCUGUGUUAAAAUCCUUUUUAAGUGUCAUACCACGCACUAUUUUUCUGUUCCUCAACUCUAUCGAUCCCAUAACCUAUUUCUGUUAACUGGUUACUAAGGACAUGUACAAUCCCAUAACCAAAUUGGUGGGUAUGCAAUGCGUCAAUGAAAAAACCAUUUCUUCAGUCCUGUAAUGUUGUUCCGAUUGCGUCAAUGAAAAAACUGUAAUUUUUGACCGGGGAGAUGGUAGCACUAGCAUGUGGGGAUUAAAGUUCCUAAAUGUUCAGUACUGUCCUAAACACUUGUUUUAUCUUUUUUGAGUGGAAGUCCGACGUCCGAGAGGGGCUCGCCAUUGGGCUUGGCAUGGGCACAGUCAUGCUGCUCCUCUUCUGCGGCUACUCGCUGGUGAUUUGAUAUGGCUCUAAGCUGAUCCUGGAGAUGGUGUACACCGGAGCCAAGGUCACAACAUGAUCUUUGUAGUCCUCACUGGUUCUCUUUUCUCAAAUUGACCAUGGUGUUGUAAAUUUGAUCAAUGAAGAAGAUUCAAGAAUUACCGUUUUACUGGAUUGCCAUGGGAUUUCGCCAUUCAGAUUUCCAAUGCAAAUGAUGAGGUCGUUUAUCACUGUGGUUCAAGAAAACUACCCGAAUCGUCUUGGGGUAUUGUUUGUCAUCCGCCUUCCUCCAGUUGUCAGAGUUAUUGCACAGACAUUUCUUCAAAUUGCAAUAUCACAUGGUAUCCGUGGAGAUGAGGACGACAUUGCCUCCAAGUCUGCUCCACCGGCAUCCAUCGACGGUGCAAGAUCCAGCAGAUAGAUUGAUGGCAAAGAGGACGACUCCAUGUCCAGGCGUACUCCCCGCCUUGCAUCGAGAUUGCUAGGUCAUAAUCGAAGGGUUUACAGGGAGGAGAUCUGAACAUAGCUCUUCAAUCCCAAAGUUAACAUCGUUGGUUACCAUAAUUCUUACUGCUUGCAAGCCCUUUUAGAAUAUUACUGCUGCGAGGUUCUUGCAAGUCCUUGAUGAAGAAGUCGAAGGUGACGAACGCCGAGGCCGUCAUCCUGAUCGACGCCAAGAACCUCACAGCGCACCUCCUUGUGAUGCUCUUUUCUCCAAUGUCUUCUCUUAUCUACAUGCAGGAAAAAAUCUACAUGUUGAUGGCGUGGAUCAGAAAAAUGUGGAAGGACAAGAUUUAAGAUGCACUGCCAUGGUUGGCGGUCUAUUUACUGCAUCUCGAAGCGGCUUGCAUUCAAAGGACUAUAUUGUACAUGACCUUGAAGGAGCUGACCAUGUGACAGACCUUGAUCAUAACCAUGUUGCAGAGUUGAAGAUAUUAGGACUAUAUUAAACAUUGCUGCAUAUAGCAUCAGCAACAACUUGGUUUCCGUCGCUGCCCAAACUUCAGCAGAGGCGAUCUAAGAAGAAGCAAGCGUAUCGGCUCAUGUUCUGACGGCCGUGUUCACGUGGUGUAAGAUCUGCAUUGUGGAAUCCUUCGCCCGGACAAGAGAGAUUGGAUCCUCCCGUCCAGACAACCUGAUAGAACGACAGUGUAUAAGAACAGGGCUCUUAGGACGCCUUUUGUCAAGUUGGGUCAUAACUCUACCCUGAGAAUUGAGAUAGAUGAUCAUGUGGUGCAAGAUAUUGAGUCCCUAAUCUUUGAUGACACACAUAACAAAUGGUAAGCGUCUCCGUGGAUGGAGCCUGAAGUAUAUUCAAAUUCAAGGCAUGCCACAAAGCAUCUCGCGUGUGGGAUGCUCCGGCGUGUGGAAAGUAGAAAAGCCAAAUAAAUGGGUACAUGUACAGCAGGCGUGAGUUCUUAAAUACUCAGAUUCCUUGUCCAUAGGCAAAUGCAUAGUUCAUACGAAUCAGAGUACACGAUGCACACAACUUGAUGUCUCUAUCGUUGUUUUCAACAUGAUGAACAUGCGAAUUUCGUGGUAUUAAUUGGGACCGUCUGAUUUCUCA